rnacentral:rRNA from 1 species
AACGAACGCUGGCGGCAUGCCUAACACAUGCAAGUCGAACGAGACCUUCGGGUCUAGUGGCGCACGGGUGCGUAACGCGUGGGAACCUGCCCUUAGGUUCGGAAUAACUCCCCGAAAGGGGUGCUAAUACCGGAUAAUGUCUUCGGACCAAAGAUUUAUCGCCUUUGGAUGGGCCCGCGUUGGAUUAGCUAGUUGGUAGGGUAAAAGCCUACCAAGGCGACGAUCCAUAGCUGGUCUGAGAGGAUGAUCAGCCACACUGGGACUGAGACACGGCCCAGACUCCUACGGGAGGCAGCAGUGGGGAAUAUUGGACAAUGCGCGAAAGCCUGAUCCAGCAAUGCCGCGUGAGUGAUGAAGGCCUUAGGGUUGUAAAGCUCUUUUACCCGGGAUGAUAAUGACAGUACCGGGAGAAUAAGCUCCGGCUAACUCCGUG